rnacentral:lncRNA from 1 species
GUCUUCCUCCGCCUCCGCCAAGCCCUGGAAAUCCCCCGCGGCACGGAGAUUUCCGAGCCUCCCUCUGGCAUCGCUUCCCGCCUAACUGCCCUGAAAAGCCCAGAUCACUGGCAGUUUGCUUUCCGCUAAUGAAAGUGCCCAGAGCAAGGACGAUAAGGAUGGCAGACCGAGGCCCGGCCCCGCUGGGGCUCUCCCGGGGCCGCAGCACAGGCCCUCGCCUCGCCGGCCGGCUCCCCAGCCCUCCCCCUGCUGCCAGCAAGCCCCUGCCUGUGGGGCUUCUGGGUAUCCUGUGAAUAAUUCAUCGCUCGCUCGCUCGCUCGUGAGCGAGGGGAGGGGACAUGAAACCCUCACGCGAGCCUGGCAAGCCCAGGGCCUGUGUGCGCGUCCUUGAGCACAGGGGCCGCUGCUGGGUCCAGCCCGAUGCACCCCGGGGAAGGGGCAGGCUGGGGCGUCCAGCCGCUGACCCCGGGUGGCCAGCCCCGCGGGAAGGCUCCUCCCACCACUGCCGUGGGCACAAAGGGGAGGAGACCCACUUCUAGAAAGACGCGAGCCAUGGGUCCAGGCCUGGGUGGCAUGUCCGCGGCUGUUCUGGAGAGUUCUCCAAGCUGCAGCCCAGUGACCGCCCUGUCCUACUCCCGGGGCCACACAGCCUGCACCCCGCAGGCCCCAGGGGGGAGGGGGCUGCGUUCUGGUCCGGGCCCUGCCCGUGACCCACCCUUGACCUGAGGCAGGUCACUUCCCCGCUGUUGGCUGGUGCAGCUUUACCUCCAUGUGGGAGACCUCACCUUGUCCCAGAAGAGCCUCAGGUCCUGCGGCCGCGGGGAGGGUCAGGGUGCCAGGCCUGCCUGGUGGCUCAGCUCUGCCCCUGGGCCCUGCCCAGGCUGCCCACAGGCUCUCAGCAGGCCCACCGGGGCUAACUCUCCAGGGACAGGCUGGUCCCUGGAGAGUGCCCAUCUCUCAGCAGUUAUUGUAGGUCUCAAGGGCAGGACUGGAAAGGGAGGGCGUCCCAGCUUGGGAUGUGUGACUGGUGGUCACAGGGGGUGGACACAGGGCCAGGAAGAAGAGACUGAGGCCUGCUGGGGAGCUGGCUGGCUGGGCACAUGGCAGCAUUGACCUCAGCCUGACCCUCGGUCUUGAGCUGGACCCUCUUCCAGCUGUCCCACAAGCUGGCCUGGCCGGUUGGAAGGGGGACAGGCACCAUCGUCACCAAGUCAGGAAGGGACAGGCCCUGCCAAAGUCACAGGUAAACCCGACAUCUCAGUGGCCCCUUGCUCAGCAAAGCCAGCUGCCAUCUAGGGGCCCUCCUGGAUUGCUGCUCCCAACUGUGACUCAGACCUGGUCCCUGUCUGCCCUGUGACCCUGUCCCCUGCUCAGGCCUUCCUGGCAAGGGACAGGAGGAAACAGGGAGGCUCACGCCUGAAGUGAAGCCCAGCACCUCUGCUAACAGCCCACCUGGCCAGGUCAGUCCCUGACCCACCCUCCUGCACGGGAGUCCGGGGAGGACCAGGAGAAGAGGUGGACAGUCCACUCCCGGCUCACACCUGCCAUGCCAGGAAGCCUAUUCUGCUGAAAGACUUGCAAAUGUAGGACAGGAGUGGCUCUGCCGGCUGCCAGGGCCAACCACCGCUCUGAGCCCUUUGUACCCAGCACGCCACCUUACACAACCUUUAUCACAGCCGCGCGAAAGGGGUAGCUUUGUUUCUUCUUCAGAAAUGAGAAAAUUGAGGCCAGAGAAAUGAAAUGAAAUGUCUGCUUAAAAAUAUGGAUGAGUGAAUGAACGACUGGGUGGAUGGUGUGAGU